rnacentral:tRNA from 1 species
GGAUAGUUGCCUGAAUAAAGGGUCAUUCUGAUAGGGUGAAUUAUGUAAUUUUUACACUAUCCU